UUCUGAUGAUGUGGAAAAUCUUAAAUAAGUCACUUGAAUCUCUCCUAAGCAUGAUAAAUAUUCUCAUCUGGCUUCUACUUGAAGCUUAAAAUCUCACUUCGUAGCCU
rfam:Capsicum annuum cultivar Zunla-1 chromosome 7, whole genome shotgun sequence